ACAAAUACUAGCCCAACCCCAACAAAAUACAAAUAACAAUAUUAAAUAAAACAAAACAUUUAUACAAACAAAAGUAUAGGAGAU
rnacentral:rRNA from 1 species